rnacentral:rRNA from 1 species
CGAUCCAGCCAUUCCGCGUGAGUGAAGAAGGCCUUCGGGUUGUAAAGCUCUUUCGGCAGGAACGAAACGGCGGGCUCUAACAUAGCCUGCUAAUGACGGUACCUGAAGAAGAAGCACCGGCUAACUACGUGCCAGCAGCCGCGGUAAUACGUAGGGGUGCGAGCGUUAAUCGGAAUUACUGGGCGUAAAGCGUGCGCAGGCGGUUUUGUAAGACAGAUGUGAAAUCCCCGGGCUUAACCUGGGAACUGCGUUUGUGACUGCAAGACUUGAGUGCGGCAGAGGGGGGUGGAAUUCCACGUGUAGCAGUGAAAUGCGUAGAGAUGUGGAGGAACACCGAUGGCGAAGGCAGCCCCCUGGGUCGACACUGACGCUCAUGCACGAAAGCGUGGGUAGCAAACAGGAUUAGAUACCCUGGUAGUCCACGCCCUAAACGAUGCCAACUAGGUGUUGGGGAAGGAGACUUCCUUUAGUACCGUAGCUAACGCGUGAAGUUGGCCGCCUGGGGAGUACGGUCGCAAGAUUAAAAACUCAAAGGAAUUGACGGGGAC